CACGUAGGGCGCGAGCGUUGUCCGGAAUUAUUGGGCGUAAAGCGCGCGCAGGCGGUCCUUUAAGUCUGAUGUGAAAGCCCACGGCUCAACCGUGGAGGGUCAUUGGAAACUGGGGGACUUGAGUGCAGGAGAGAAGAGUGGAAUUCCACGUGUAGCGGUGAAAUGCGUAGAGAUGUGGAGGAACACCAGUGGCGAAGGCGGCUCACUGGCCCGGUACUGACGCUGAGGUGCGAAAGCGUGGGGAGCAAACAGG
rnacentral:rRNA from 1 species